CUACGGGAGGCAGCAGUGGGGAAUCUUGCGCAAUGGGCGAAAGCCUGACGCAGCAACGCCGCGUGCGGGAAGAAGGCCUUCGGGUUGUAAACCGCUUUCAGUAGGGACGAAAACAGACGGUACCUACAGAAGAAGCCCCGGCCAACUACGUGCCAGCAGCCGCGGUAACACGUAGGGGGCGAGCGUUGUCCGGAUUUAUUGGGCGUAAAGAGCUCGUAGGCGGCUCAGUAAGUCAGGUGUGAAACCUCCAGGCUCAACCUGGAGACGCCACCUGAUACUGCUGUGGCUAGAGUCCGGUAGAGGAGCGUGGAAUUCCUGGUGUAGCGGUGAAAUGCGCAGAUAUCAGGAGGAACACCAACGGCGAAGGCAGCGCUCUGGGCCGGUACUGACGCUGAGGAGCGAAAGCGUGGGUAGCAAACAGGAUUAGAUACCCUAGUAGUCC
rnacentral:rRNA from 1 species